rnacentral:rRNA from 1 species
AGUGAACGCUGGCGGUAGGCCUAACACAUGCAAGUCGAACGGCAGCACAGUAAGAGCUUGCUCUUACGGGUGGCGAGUGGCGGACGGGUGAGGAAUACAUCGGAAUCUACUUUUUCGUGGGGGAUAACGUAGGGAAACUUACGCUAAUACCGCAUACGACCUACGGGUGAAAGCAGGGGAUCUUCGGACCUUGCGCGAUUGAAUGAGCCGAUGUCGGAUUAGCUAGUUGGCGGGGUAAAGGCCCACCAAGGCGACGAUCCGUAGCUGGUCUGAGAGGAUGAUCAGCCACACUGGAACUGAGACACGGUCCAGACUCCUACGGGAGGCAGCAGUGGGGAAUAUUGGACAAUGGGCGCAAGCCUGAUCCAGCCAUACCGCGUGGGUGAAGAAGGCCUUCGGGUUGGAAAGCCCUUUUGUUGGGAAAGAAAAGCAGCAGGUUAAUACCCCGCUGUUGACGGUACCCAAAGAAUAAGCACCGGCUAACUUCGUG